rnacentral:rRNA from 1 species
GAUGAACGCUGACAGAAUGCUUAACACAUGCAAGUCUUUGGCGAAGCUGUGCUUGCUCAGCCUCGCCCAGGCGCACGGGUGAGUAACGCGUAACGAACUUGCCCUGCAUUCAGGGAUAACAGACCGACACGACUGAUAAGCCCUUGUAAAGUCAUGUGUACUCAUGUCCAGCCUGAUGAAAAGAGAUGCUGCAGGAGAGCCUUGCGUCCUAUUAGCCUGUUGGUUGGGUAACGGCCCAACAAGGCGAUGAUAGAUAGCCGGCCUGAGAGGGUGGACGGCCACAAGGCGACUGAGAUACAGCAGUUGCGACUCUGGGAGGCAGGGGUGAAGAAUGAUGGACAAAGGCGGCAACACUGAUCAAGGACUUCUGUGUGUAAGAUGAAGGUUUUCGGAUUGAAAAGUGCUUUAAGCAGGGAAGCAAAUAAUGACGGUACUUGCAGAAGAAGCGACGGCUAACUACGUG